UACGAAGGGGGCUAGCGUUGUUCGGAUUUACUGGGCGUAAAGGGCGCGUAGGCGGAUUUUUAAGUCAGGGGUGAAAUCCCAAGGCUCAACCUUGGAACUGCCUUUGAUACUGGGAAUCUUGAGUCCGGGAGAGGUGAGUGGAACUGCGAGUGUAGAGGUGAAAUGCGCAGAUAUCAGGAGGAACACCAGCGGCGAAGGCGGCGCUCUGGGCCGGUACUGACGCUGAGGAGCGAAAGCGUGGGGAGCAAACAGG
rnacentral:rRNA from 1 species